rnacentral:rRNA from 1 species
GACGGAGGGUGCAAGCGUUGUUCGGAUUGACUGGGCGUAAAGGGCGUGUAGGCGGUUGGUCAAGUCUGAUGUGAAAGCCCGGAGCUCAGCUCCGGAAGGGCAUCGGAAACUAGCCAGCUGGAGCGCGAUAGAGGAGGGCGGAAUUCCUGGUGUAGCGGUGAAAUGCGUAGAUAUCAGGAGGAACACCGGCGGCGAAGGCGGCCCUCUGGAUCGUUGCUGACGCUGAGACGCGAAAGCGUGGGGAGCAAACAGG